rnacentral:misc_RNA from 1 species
GAUGUUUUGAGAAAAGGGUAACCCGUUUUCACUGUUCUUUGUUUGUUAUGCUGGGAUAGUUACCAAUGUCUAUCAAAAUGGCCUUUUUCUUUUAUCUUUCUGCCAUAUGCAAAUGUGGCAAGGAGGCAUUGGCCCACUGAUCCUUAGAUUUUGUGGUUGAACUAUUUCUGUGUGGUUGUUUUAUUAAUCUUACAUUGAACUAUAUACUUGAAUGUGUGGCGCUUUGCUUGUUUUCAGGUCCGAUACCAGCGCAGGAAAAG